ACAUUGAGAACCACUGGUCUACAGGACCAGAGAAGACAGCAAACCAUGCAGAAGAGACCCCAAAGGAUACUAAAGGACAGUACCCGCCCAGCCACAACCUGUUCACCCUGCUGCCUUCUGGAAACAAUAGAAGUUUCUGCUGCCAGACUGUAGAGCAGCCCCCCCCCCCAGUUAUCGGACUGGUAAACUCUAGUUCAUCCUUAGCACUCCUCCACUGAUUAUAAUUUAUUUCUGUUUAUUAUAAUUGCUUCUAUAUUAAUGUAUAUUGUCUGCUAUAGCAAAAGCAAGUUACAAACUCAAUUAAUACUUUAUAUUAUAUAACCUGUUACAUUGUGACAAAAUAAAUCUACCCACCUACUUUAAAGAAGAAUAAAGUGAAUGUUUUGGAAAUGCCAAGUCAAAAGUUCUGACCUUAAAAUUAUUGAAAUGUUGGGGAAGGAUGAGGAAGCAAGCAGCUCAUGUGAGGAAACCCACCAAUAUUGGUGCUAAAGCUGUUCUGUACAGAGCAAUGGGCAAAUAUUCAUCCAAGCCAAUAAGCAGGAUUGCUCAAAAGUUACUGGAAACGUUUUGUUGCAAUUAUUGCUGCUUUACUCAGCAUGGACAGCUUGUUUUUAGUAAUGCAAUUAUGUUUUUGGACUUUCUUUUUAGGACCUUGUAAAAUGUUCUAACUUUAGGGCUUAACUGUAAAUGUUCUGCAACCAUAGAUUGCACAUGCAAUGUCUUUGAAAGCAUGUCUGUGCUAUAUAUGUUGAAUAAAUGUUUAAAACUUG